rnacentral:tRNA from 1 species
UUCGUAGUGCAAUAGUCAGCACGCUCGACCCGUAACCGAGAGGUCCGUGGUUCGAUUCCAGGCGAA